CGCACUGCAUUCUGGGAGUGGUAGUCCAACUGGCAUAUCGCCCAGUCUGUCACACAGUCAAUAACUUGUGGUAAACAACAUCAAGCGCUGUUCCUCCGGCAAAAGGAAGGAUGCAGGGCCACAAAGAGUUCACCAGCAUUGAGUCGGUAGGGAUAAAUGAAGAGCGAAGCUUGCCCCGCCAUCUCCGUGCUUAGUCUCAGAAGGUGCAGGAACCUCAGGAUGUUUUGGGGACCUCAGGAAAAGAAGAAGUAACCCAAAUUUACAGGUAUUGCAGGAAUGUUAACCUUAUCUUUUAGAGGCAAACAACAGGAAGAGCUCCAGCCAGCCUAAACCCAGUUUGAGCUCAACCAUCCCCUCACACCUGUGCAGAGAGAGCAUGGAGUGUCCAAUAGUCACGUUUACCUCAUAAUAAUGUUAAAAUCUCCACUCAAGGAGGAACAUAAACCUCAUUAACAUAACAUACAGUACAUGUAUAAGCAUGUUUCCUAAGUAAGCAUCAGUUGCUUUAUACCCACCUCUACAUGUGAUGACAAAACUUCCUUUUCUGAGUAUUCAUCCUAUCCUUAAAUAAAAGAAACUCACUCACCCCCAUUUGGGGAGUCACCACUUUGAAGUUAUUCCCGUGAUCUCCUUAUUUGCUACAAAUAAAGUUUCCUUUGUGUGACAAAAAAAAAAAUAGAUCGCUUGAAUAUCCUUAUAUUUUUAAUUUA